AUACGGAGGGUCCAAGCGUUAUCCGGAAUCAUUGGGUUUAAAGGGUCCGCAGGGGGUCAAUUAAGUCAGAGGUGAAAGCCCAUCGCUCAACGAUGGAACUGCCUUUGAUACUGGUUGACUUGAGUUAUACGGAAGUAGAUAGAAUAAGUAGUGUAGCGGUGAAAUGCAUAGAUAUUACUUAGAAUACCGAUUGCGAAGGCAGUCUACUACGUAUAUACUGACGCUGAGGGACGAAAGCGUGGGGAGCGAACAGGAUUAGAUACCCUAGUAGUCC
rnacentral:rRNA from 1 species